UCGGCAAGGGGGUCAUCCCGACUUACCAACCCGAUGCAAACUGCGAAUACCGGAGAAUGUUAUCACGGGAGACACACGGCGGGUGCUAACGUCCGUCGUGAAGAGGGAAACAACCCAGACCGCCAGCUAAGGUCCCAAAGUCAUGGUUAAGUGGGAAACGAUGUGGGAAGGCCCAGACAGCCAGGAUGUUGGCUUAGAAGCAGCCAUCAUUUAAAGAAAGCGUAAUAGCUCACUGGUCGAGUCGGCCUGCGCGGAAGAUGUAACGGGGCUAAACCAUGCACCGAAGCUGCGGCAGCGACGCUUAUGCGUUGUUGGGUAGGGGAGCGUUCUGUAAGCCUGUGAAGGUGUACUGUGAGGUAUGCUGGAGGUAUCAGAAGUGCGAAUGCUGACAUAAGUAACGAUAAAGCGGGUGAAAAGCCCGCUCGCCGGAAGACCAAGGGUUCCUGUCCAACGUUAAUCGGGGCAGGGUGAGUCGACCCCUAAGGCGAGGCCGAAAGGCGUAGUCGAUGGGAAACAGGUUAAUAUUCCUGUACUUGGUGUUACUGCGAAGGGGGGACGGAGAAGGCUAUGUUGGCCGGGCGACGGUUGUCCCGGUUUAAGCGUGUA
rnacentral:rRNA from 1 species